rnacentral:misc_RNA from 1 species
GAUGAAGAACGUAGCGAAAUGCGAUAAGUAAUGUGAAUUGCAGAAUUCAGUGAAUCAUCGAAUCUUUGAACGCACAUUGCGCCCCCUGGUAUUCCGGAGGGCAUGUCUGUCCGAGCGUCAUUAGUCCAAUCUCAAGCCCGGCUUGUCGUUGGGUCGCACCGCCCGGGGCGGUGGACCCGAAAUAUAAUGACGGGGUCUAGCGGACCGUGGGCGCAGCGAGCUUUUACAGCACGCGUCCCGGCGUCAUCUAGACGCGUCUCCAACCAUACUCUCUGUAGGUUGACCUCGGAUCAGACAGGAUUACCCGCUGAACUUAAGCAUAUCAAUAAGCGGAGGA